rnacentral:tRNA from 2 species
GCUACGAUAGCUCAGUUGGUAGAGCGGAAGUUUGAAGAACUUCGCGUCAGUGGUUCGAUUCCAUUUCGUAGCA